CUCUUGGGGAGCUGUACUAGACUACUAGGUUGCCGUCCAAGUCUCCACCCCCCGUGUGGCCCAGAACUGGAGCUAGACGAGCUCGGCCGGCGCGUCGACCUUCCCAGGCCACGCCCAUGGCAUCUCAACCUACCAACAGUACCACCACAGCGACAGCUAACGUCAGAUCCAGUCAAAAGCGCAACACCCAGGUCGCCGCGCGGACUGAAGACUAUUUGUGCUGGUGGUGUGUCGUCCUCUGCUGCGCCGGCGGAGGCCACGGCCAGUCACUGGUGUGUGUUGUGCAAGACUCUAUGGCGCUCUACAAGCAGCAUAGCGGAAAACACUGCUUGGCUUUUUUGGGUUUCGACGAAUCUGAACUUCUGAAUCUGUGUGUGCUUGUCGCUUGUCGGUGUGCCAAUACAUGGAGUUGGACAUGGUAUUGCAGGUGGGUCUGAAACUGCAGAUAAGGAAUCAGGAUAUUGAUUGAUGUCGCUGAUGCACACAAGAUGGAGAUGAGAAAUCAUGGUGUGGUUCCUUCCCUGUGCUCUCAGUGCGCGGACCUGUGAAAAUAUGUCAUGAGACACCUAGGAGGGGCAUCGUUCGCAGCUGUGGGCUCGAACGUGUCCCGGGCACAAGGUAUCUCCUAAGAAGACGGCAGCCGUCCGCUCGUCAGCUGCCCCUUGGAGUUGCAUGGAGAUAUAUCAUAGCCCUUGAAGCAUGGAAGCAUGGAAGCAAACAGCCAAUGGAAGCAUGUUAUCAGCUUUUUCAGAUUGUUGGUAGAGGUUGGCAUCUGGUCAUUUUCCCACUUCUGCUGAGGCGAAGGCUUUCAUUGACAUGUCAUUGUGGAGCUCACAAGUCGUUUUUCUUAUGCUCUACGGUCCAAUGUCACAAAUAAGUUAUCUUCUGUGGAACUCAGGAGAGGUUUGCUGCCUGUAGGAGGACGCUGUAUCCAUUGCAGAAGAAGACCUUGGACCUGCUUCAAGAGUUCAAGUGUGCUCACUACAGCUGCCUUCUUGAGACUGCAUCUUACCCUGUCACUAACGAGAUCAUGUACUAUCAUCACCACUUCUUGCAACUGUUGAAGGAUACGAGCAGCUAUAACCGAAUCCACUAAGGAAGUGGCGUCGUCGAAGGAUCAGGCAUCAGAAGCCAUAGAGAAACUAGACGGCAAUUGAGCUUUACAUUACUGCCUUCUCUACAGUUCUGAAGCACUUGCAGAUCAAGCUUGAUGCUUUCAGAAUUAUACUAGGAGGGCUGGGCGAGGAUUUAGGAAAUAACAGAGGUGUCGUCGAGGAUAUGAGAGAUGAGACAGUGUUGGAGAUUUGUCAUAAAAGGACAAUUUAGCGAUGUCAACUUCUUUAUUUGAUUCAGGUUCAGGUGCCACAUGUGCAUUGCAGCGGGUGGAGCGCAGCUUCCAUCACAGAUUGGGUAUCUAGCUCCAAUUUAUUAAACAGGUAGGUGCAUUCUUUAUAUAUACAUAGGUGAGUAAACACAUCAUAAACCAUGCCUGGUAGAUGUGUGGGAACCAUAAAGUAAUUUUCUCCACUACCGUUUUGAGGCUGUAAUUUCUUGUGUGCGAGACAUUUAGCAGUGGAAGUUUUUUUUUCUCUUAAGAUCGAUCUGCAUAUAGGAGAGGCUGGGUGGCGUACUGAACAUUAUGCUUAAAUUAGUUGAACUUUUACUGUUUCAUGUAGCACAUUGCAUUGAGUGUGACGGUCUACCUUGAUGUAUGUUCAGCUUGACAGUCUACAUUGAUAUAUUGGUCGGGAAUAGUAUCUACUAGAUUCACCACAAGGACAUGUUAGAAAGUUUUGCCUUUUCUUACAAAAUUAAGGUAUGAAGAAUUGGAGGGUGAUCCAAGUGUUUCGUGUGAUGUUAAUUGUUUAUUACCCUUCCCUACUCUCGGGUAAGCUAUUGUUAUAAGGUUGUUUUCUUGAAAGUAGUAGCAUGGAUGUUUACAGAUGCAAAUCUGAAAUGAACUAUGGGCAAAAUUCUUUUAAAGAGCAAGUAUGUUCUUCCAACUUGAUCAAAGUGGCGAAGUAAUAUUUGCUUGUAAUACCUGCAGUUAUUGAAGAGCAUGUUACUAUGGCAGACGAAGUAGUUGACGAGCAUGAUCUAGCGAUAGAGAUCGCUGAAGGAGACAGAGAAGAAUCUCUCUGCGGACCGUGGGCGCCUAGAGGCGCGCAAAAUCUCCCUCUCCCGGCACUGCUUCCGGCUUGAAUUUUACUUCUGCACCCCUCUCUUCCAUCACUUACUGUUCAUGAGCAACCAGAUCUCAUGGAACAAAUCUGUCUUCAUCACCCCCACCAGCACUCCGAUAGUUGGUACCGACAAAAUCCAACAUUUUGUUUUGAAGUGCAUGCUGAUUUGUGCAGGUUUGAGGUGUGCCUGACUGGCUGAUUCAGAGGCUUCGAGCGACCACUUCAUCUAAAUCUGGUAAGCAUUAUGCAGCUAUGGUUAAAGAAUGUUUAAUACUUCACACUGUGAGAUGCUGCUCUUGGAGAGCAACACGACAACUGUGACCUUGCAACCAAUGUCGUGCUGCACGACCAUGCGAGUGACCAUCGUGCGAUCACUUGUCUAUAGCACCUUCAACGCUGAUGGUGCCUCGCUUUGUUCCUUCCACUGCACUCUGGUGGAUUCACCACCACUAGGGAAAGUGUGGAGCUAUCUUUUUCGAUGGGAAGAGAAGGAACCAUCAACUAAUUUUUUAUGGCUACUUCAGGAAGGACGCAAUGGAUACAUGACACGUGCCUGUUAUUUUCUUACUGUUGGUAGCAUCUAGCGUAUGUUAAUUUGGUUCUUGGAAAUUACUAACUCAAUACGGUACUUUGUCUCAUAAGUGAACUCUUCUGAUAUCAAUUAAUUACUCUAUGUCCACUUAGCAGUUCUGAAUUAAAUAUCAGCAGAGAUAGGAGUUUAUUGCGUCCAUGUAAUUGCAUAUGUACAUGCCAGAUGGGCAUGAGCCCUUCUGUGAUAAGUUAUUCUGGUCUGUAUGACAGUAUGAGUGGACUUA